ensembl:lncRNA
UCCACCACUGAAAUUAUUUUUCUUCGAUGUCAUCAGUCUCUCUUAUCUGCUUUACCAUCCAAUCAAUAAAAUCUAACCAAAUCCCAUAUAUUGUGUUCUCAGUGCUGUUUCAGAAGAAAAAUGGGUUUCGAACAGCAUUUUAAUGAUGCAAAAGCUUCAAAAAUAUUUUUCUACAUUUUUGAAAGUGUUUGGAUUCAUCUGGUUUCUGUUCCUCAGGUACAUGGAAGGCUCUUUUCCUCACUUUUCUCAUCUGUGCUCUUCUGGGUUCAGUUGGGUUCAUCCUCUACAAAUACAGAGAAAAACUAACAGGGAAGAAACCCGUCAAAGAAAGUAAGUAAACUACAUGUGCAUCAUUUUAACAUCCAAAAAUACAUAUGAAUAUACUUCUGUUUUCCUCAUUUGUUAGUCACUUUGGAUAAAAGCUUCUGCUAAAUGAUUGUAUGUAAAUGUAAAGGAAUCAGCUUAACAUCAGAAUUUAUUGUGGUUGAUUAAGUGGAGUAUUUGUGUAAAUAAAUUGGUAAUUAAACCCUCCA